GACGAACGCUGGCGGCGUGCUUAACACAUGCAAGUCGAACGGUAAGGCCCUUCGGGGUACACGAGUGGCGAACGGGUGAGUAACACGUGGGUGAUCUGCCCUGCACUUCGGGAUAAGCCUGGGAAACUGGGUCUAACACCGGAUAGGACCACUGCCUGCAUGGGUGGCGGUGGAAAGCUUUUGCGGUGUGGGAUGGGCCCGCGGCCUAUCAGCUUGUUGGUGGGGUGAUGGCCUACCAAGGCGACGACGGGUAGCCGGCCUGAGAGGGUGACCGGCCACACUGGGACUGAGAUACGGCCCAGACUCCUACGGGAGGCAGCAGUGGAGAAUAUUGCACAAUGGGCGCAAGCCUGAUGCAGCGACGCCGCGUGAGGGAUGACGGCCUUCGGGUUGUAAACCUCUUUCAGCACCGAUGAAGCGCAAGUGACGGUAGGUGCAGAAGAAGGACCGGCCAACUACGUGCCAGCCGCCGCUGUAA
rnacentral:rRNA from 1 species